GAUGAAGAACGUAGCGAAAUGCGAUAGGUAAUGUGAAUUGCAGAAUUCAGUGAAUCAUCGAAUCUUUGAACGCACAUUGCGCCCCUUGGUAUUCCAUGGGGCAUGCCUGUUCGAGCGUCAUUUGUACCUUCAAGCUUUGCUUGGUGUUGGGUGUUUGUCUCGCCUUUGCGUGUAGACUCGCCUUAAAAUAAUUGGCAGCCGGCGUAUUGAUUUCGGAGCGCAGUACAUCUCGCGCUUUGCACUCAUAACGACAGCGUCCAAAAGUACAUUUUACACUCUUGACCUCGGAUCAGGUAGGGAUACCCGCUGAACUUAAGCAUAUCAAUAAGCGGAGGA
rnacentral:misc_RNA from 1 species